rnacentral:lncRNA from 1 species
CUCCAGCCGGUCCCUCCAUUCGGGGUUCCUGACUUCCUGCAACACAGGAGGCUGAGGCAGGAGAAUCGCUUGAACCUGGGAGGCAGAGGGUGCCGUCAGCCAAGAUGGCGCCACUGUACUCCAGCCUGGGCAAGAGAGCUGGACUCCUUCUCAAAAAUAAAGAAGACUAUUAGGGUAUAGUGGCAGAGGGGAGAGAAUUCAGGAGACACUGUUGGUUGUCUAAUGCCUAAACUAUCUCUCUCAUUGCCUUUUUCCUUGAUAGUAAAGCCCUGAUUAUAUGCAUGUGUUCAUAGAAUUAAUCAAUCUUUAUACUGCUAAACCUUUGAGCUUCCAGUCCUGUGAGAUAAUACAAUCUCCAUAUUAUUUUCAGAAAGCUGUUAUUUGCAACCACACACAGCCUAACUGAUGAGAAGUGUUGGCAUGAGGUUUAGAAAUAGGCAGAGACCAUGAAAGUUUGGGAUGACUGAGGUGCAGAAUGCAGAAAGCACAGCAUUCUUAUGACCCAAAUUAGUUACUCUUCCACCCAGAACACCCGAAAUGGGAAAGCAAGGUUUUUGUAAUUAAAAAUACAGUUGUAAUUAAGAGAGAAAAUUGCUUCUGGGAGACAAAAUUGAACAGCUAUGGAUUAUACUCUGUAAAGUAAAGUUGUGAUGGACCAGCACUUGCUAAGAGUGACACCUGGCCUCUUUGGAGACUGUGUAGUGUGGUGGGAAGAAGCCUGGAUCAAGAGGCUUAAUUUUUUUUUAAUUACAGAUAGUAAAAUAGAUCACCUUUAUGGGGGUGUACAAUGGUAAGAGUUUUAACACAUAGACGUGACUACAGUCAAGAUGCAGAACAGUUAUAUCACCCCAGAAAAUCCCUCAUGCAUACCUUCAUAGUGAAACCCUCACCCUGUCCUGAUCCUUAGCAACCACUGAUCUGUUCUCUGUCCUUACAGUUUUGCUUUUCAUAUGUAUGGAAUCAUAGGGUGUGCAGCAACCUUUGUCUCUGGCUUUUUUCACUCAGCCUUUGAGAUUCAUGUUGCUGUGUGCAUCAGUAGUUUGUUCCUUUUUAUUGCUGAGUAGUUUUCCAUUGUAUAGGUGUACCACGUUUUUUAAUCCAUUGAAGAAUAUUUAGGUUGUUUCCAAUUUUGAGUGGUUAUGGAGAAAACUCCUAUAAACAUUCAUAUGCAGGGUUUUGUCUGAAGACAAGUUUCUAUUUCUGUAAAUACCUAGGAGUGAGAUAACUGGAUAAUAUAUUAAGUGUAUGCUUAACUUUGUAAGAAGCUACCACAAUUAUUUUCCAGAGUGAUGUGCUAUUUUGCCUUCCAACCAGCAAUGAGUAAGAGAGUUCAUUACUACAUCCUCAGCAGCACUUGCUAUCGUCAGCUUGUUUUUUCCUUUUUUUUUAAAGUUAUUCUAAUAGGCGUACGGUAGUGUCACAUUGUGGCCCUAAUUUGCAUUUCCCUAAUGACUAAUGAUGUUGAUCAUCUUUUCAUCUAAUUAUUUGCCAUCCACAUAUUUUCUUUGUGAAGUGUGUUCAAAUAUUUGCCCACUUUUUAAUUGAGUUGUUUUCCUUAUUGUUGAGUUUUGAGUUAUUUAAAUAUUCUGGGUACAAGUAGUUAUGUAAUUUGUAAAUGACUUCUCCUUUUCUGUAGUUUGUUUUUUCAUUCUCUUACCUGUCUUUUGCAGAGGAAAAUCUUUUUAGUGAAGUCCAGUUAAUUACCUUUUUUCUUUUAUUGUGUUUUUUUUGGUACAAAAAAUGUCUAAGAUCUCUUUACCUCACCUAAGGUCACAAAGUUUUUCACCGUAUGUAGUCUUUUAAAAAUUUUAUAGUUUUAUAUUUAAGAUCUGUGGUCUAUUUUGAGUUAAUUUUUGUAUAAGGUGUGAGAUAUAUAUCAGUGUAUUUUCUCCUUCCUCCUUCCCUCCAUUCCUUCUUUUCUUUCUUUUUUCUUUCCUUCCUUCCUUUUUUUUUUUUUUAAAGAAAGUUAAGUCUCUUUUUCCUCCUUUCUUGGGCAGAGGUGUGUUCAAUUGUUCCCACACCAUUUGUUGAAGAGGCUAUUCUUUCUCCAUUGAAUGGCCUUUGCACCUUUGUCAAAAAUUAAUACACUCUAUUUAUAUGGGUUUAUCACUGGACUCUCCAUUCUGUUUCAUUGAUCUAUGCGUCUAUCUUUGUCUAAUACUGUGCCAUCUUGAUUACUAUAGCUUCAUAGUAAGUCUUAAAAUCAGAUAGUAUGCAAUGGAACAGAAUAGAGAAUCCAGAAAUAAAGCCACGCACAGCCAUCUAAUCUUUUACAAAGUUGGCAAAAAUGAGCAAUGGGGAAAGAACUCUCUAUUCAAUAAAUGGUGCUAGGAUAGCUGGCUAGCUAUAUGCUGAAGAAUGAAAUUGGACCCCUACCUUUCACCAUAUACAGAAAUUAACUCAAGAUGCAUUAAAGACUUAAAUGAAGACCUCAAACUAUAAGAAUUCUAGAAGAAAACCUAGGAAACACCAUUCUAAAAAUCAGACUUGGGAAAUAAUUUAUGACUAAGUUCUCAAUAGGAAUUGCAACAAAAACAAAAAUUGACAAGUGGGACCUAAUUAAACUAAAUAGCUUCUGCACAGCAAAAUAAAUCAUCAACAGAGUAAGCAGACAACCUAAAGAAUGGGAGAAAAUAUUUGCAAACUAUGUAUCUGACAAAGAUCAAAUAUUCAGAAUCUAUAAGGAACUUAAACAACUGAACAAUCAGAAAACAAAUAACUCUAAUAAAAAUGGGCAAAGAGCAUGAACAGACACUUCUCAAAAGAAGACACACAAGUGGCCAACAAACAUAUGGAAAAAUUCUCCACUUCACUAAUCAUCAGAAACAUGCAAAUCAAAACCCACAAUGAGAUAUCAUCUCAUACCAGUGAGAAUGGCCAUCAUUAAAAUAAUUUUUAGAAAAUAGAUGUUGGUGAAGCUGCAGAGAAAAGGGAAUGCUUAUGGACUGUUGGUGGGAAUGUAGUUAGUUCAGGCAUUGUGAAAAGCUGUUUAGAGAUUUCUCAAAGAACUUAAAACAAAACUACCAUUCAACCUAGCAACCCCAUUACUGGGUAUCUACCCAAAAUAAAACAAAUCAUUCUACCAAAAAAGCACAUGCCCUUGCAUGUUCAUCACAGCACUAUUCACAACAGUAAAGGCAUGGAAUCAACUUAGCUGCCCAUCAACAGUGUAUUGGAUACAGAAAAUAUGGUACAUACACACCAUGGAAUACUAUGCAGCCAUAAAAAGGAAAGAAACUAUGUUCUUUUACAGCAACAUGGCUGAAGCUGUACACCAUUAUCCUAAGGAACAGAAAACCAAAUACUGCAUGUUCUCACUUAUAAGUGAGAGCUAAACAUUGGUACUCAUGGACACAAAGAUGGCAACAAUAGACACUGAGGACUACUAGAAGGGGAAGGGAGGGAAGAAGGGGGACAAGGAUUGAAAAACUAAUUUUUGGGUACUAUGUUCAGUACCUGGGUGAUGGGAUCAUUUGUACUCCAAACCUCAGCAUCAUGCAAUAUACCCAGGUAACAGAUCUGCACGUAUACUCCCUGAAUCUAAAAUAAAAGUUGAAAAAAAAAGCAGACAGUAUGAGAUUCUCCAACUUUGUUCUUUUAAAAAAGGUUUUUGGCUAUUUUGACUUUCUUUGUAAAUGUUACAAUUAAUUUGUCUAUAUCUAUAAAAAUUCAUGCUGGGAUUUUGAUUGAAAUUGCAUUAAAUAUCUGGAUCAUUUUGGGAGAGAACUGGUAUCUUAACCAUGUUGAAUUUUCCAAUACAUGAGCACAACAUGUCUCUUCCAUUAUUAGAUCUUAUUUAAUUUCUUUCAUCAUUGUUUUGUAGUUUUCAGCAUACAGAUCUUGCAUACAUCUUUGUUAGAUUUAUAUCUAUGUAGCUAGUUUUUCUGAAACUAUUGUACAUGUUAUUUUUUAAUAUUCCAGUUUUCAACUGCUCAUAUCUGGCAUGUAAACAACUCUUGACCUUGCUAAACUCAAUAGUUCUCAUUUUUGUUUUUGCGUUUUUUGAAGAUAGAAUUCUUUGGGAUUUUCUAUGUAUACAGUUCUGUUAUCUAUGAAUAAAGAGGAUUUUCUUUCUUUCUUUCCCAGUUCUGUGUCUUUUUUGGUUUUGGCCUUAUUACCUACGACAGGAUUUUCACGACAAAUUGGAGAAUUGGAGUUGUAUCCAUUUCAGCUGACACCCGGACACUUCUCCACAUUUGCGGAGUGAGUCCUAUUUGGGAGGUAUUCACAGUCAUCAUCUUUGAUCACUAAUUACGUACAACAUCCUUACAACUAGCAGGUAUAAGUAACCUCAUUUUUCUGAAGAACAAAUGCAGACAAACGUCACUGCCUAAAGGUCUGGGGUAAGUGAAUGGCAGAGAAGCGUCUUGGGCCAGGAUGUCCUGCUUCCAGCCCAGUGUCCUUCCCUUCACUCCCCAUCCCAGCAGCCCUGGCCUACCCGAGACAAGGGCUCGGGAGCGUCUGGGACCCCAAUUUCAUCAGAGGUGUCUAGCUUACCAGUGCCACGUGAAAUGCCACAGUGGCUCUACAAUCUUGCUGGUUCCUAUGUUUCCCAAAUACCAAAAGGGCACAGUCUUCCAUAGCAACUAACAGUCUGAAAAUGUAAUGACUUUUUAAAAAUCUUGGGCAACUGGGCCACUUGUGCUUUGCUGCUCUCUAGCUUAUGUAAAACCACAUAAAAUACUGCAAGUGCACUCAGAAACCCUCAGCAGGCUCCAGUGAAAAUAAAAUGGGCUUGAGGGUGAACUGAUCAAAAAUUUUGGCCCUGUCACUGCGUGAACUCAGGCACAUUACUGAAUCUCUCUGAAAGUCACUUGCCUCAUCUGAUAAUUGUGAUAAGUGGGCGUUAAAGGUAGUAUUACAGUGAAAUGAUGAAUGUCUUGUGCCUGGAAAAUAGUAAGGGCUCAGUAAAGGGGAUUUGCGCUAUAACUCUCCUAGUCGGCAAAGAUGCUCUAAAUUCCUAAGUGUCCGACUUUUAAGGGAGGAGUACUCCAGUGGAACCGGAGUGAGCUCUGCCUGUUCCGGACCUGCUUUGCCUGUUUGACUUACUUCCCUCUUGUCUUUUCUUCCUUCCCCAAGAUCUUGCACAGUCUCAACAAGAGUCCCUGAUGGUAGGUGAGAUCUUGCGGCUUCACCAGCCUAACUUCUGAGAUGAGGGACGUGAGUGGAGCUUUUCACCUGCUCCAGAUCUGCUCUGAAUGGUCUUUGUUAAGUGUAUGAAUUGAUACUAGAGACUGUUGAGAGACACUUACAUUUGGGGAACUUUUUCUGAGGCUGAGAAACUGGAAGACUCCUUGGCUCUGAAGGAGAAUUUCAGAGCUGGUUGUCCACACUCACCACAGGCCAAGGCUCCAUGGGGGAAGGACAGUGUGGAUACUGGAGGCCCAACUCCCUUGCCUAGCACCGUCUCCUGCCCUUGUGUCUCCCCAGCAUCUGAGACCUUCCUCCAUUGCAACAGCACCCCCCAACUGGUAGCAUAAGCACCUGGAUUUAUUUCCACUGUCCCAGCAGACUAGGAGCAUCCUGAGAGUAAGGGCUGUGGCUCGCUCAUCUCUCUAUGCCCAGCACAGAGUUUAGUGACUCUUCCCUGAAAGAAGGAAUGAAAGAUGAGUUCAUUUGAAUCCUGAACUGCAGGCCACUGGGUGUAAAAGGAAAGCAAAGCUCUCGCCCACCCACCCACACCUGAAAAUGUGGAUCCUUCAAACAAGUUUAGCAAACAGGCUUUGUUCUCAGGUACAGAGACAGCGUGACAUUGUGUGAGUUGCUCUUCCUUUCCCUCUGUCUCUUUAGUGUCUGAGCAAAAUGUUCUGCUUUUCAUUGUCGCUCUUCAAACAGCAUGUUAUUGUCAUGCUUCUGCCUCCUUUUAAUAAAGAGGAAUGAGGAGGGUUUUCUUGUACACGCAAAAUUAACACAAAUCAAAACUGCUGCUGUUCUUUGAUCCGUCCUGGACUCUGAUUCGUGUCAGCCUUUUCAUUUUCCCACUGAGAGUGUACAGCUCAGGAAGGAUUACACGGGGAGGAAAACCGCUUACCACUUCCCAUUUGAUUAACACAAUUUAAUGCAGCAAUAAUGCCAGGGAAGUUCAUUACCAGGGAAAAGCUCUGAUGCAGGCUGCCCACAGUGUCUGGGGACGGGGUCUUUUUAUUUAAAAUGCAAUCAAGCCCCUAUGGUGAGUGGAUCCGUGAAAUCCUUCCUAAGCUGGGGAAGGUGGAAUUGCCAUUUAAUGUAGACAGACAAAAAUCCCUCCUGUUUGUACAGCUUUUGACAAUUUAUUCACGCUGUCUACGAAUAUUUAGUGUGGCUUCUUAUGCUCAAAACCUUGGGAUGAAGAAAACUGAAAGGGACUGUACCCUCAUUGUGCUUACAGCCUAGAAGGGGAAGUGGACAUUUUUCAAAGACGAGCACAUUGCUGACAGGUCAGGAUGUCAUGAAGGGGUCGCGCUGGGAGUGUGGGAGCAGGUGGUGCAGCACCUGUCUGGGAAAUCAGGGAAAACCACCCUGAGGAGGUGACAUACAGGCCAAGCUCAGAAGCAUGAGUAAGAGUUGAUGUGGAACAAACACAAAGGGGAGAGGUAGAGCUCUUGAAGUUAAGAAACUCCUGUGUGAGUUGCGAGGCAGCAGGAGCCUGGCCCGCUAGCAACACUGUCAAGUUGUCCAUGUGCCUGGGGCAGAUGGGGCAGGGGACAGAUGGGGAUGGCACCGGAGAAGAGUUUUGACGUACCCAAGGCCCCAGGCUGCCUCCUUCUUGCUCUGUGGCAGCCUGGUGUGAACAACGUAGAGUCUCCCUCAUGGCCAAGGAAAGAUCAGGAAUGUGUGCUCUCUCAGCCUGGGCAAGAUGGCGAAACCCCAUCUCUAUAAAAAAUAAAAAAAAUUAGCCGGGUGUGGUUGGCGCACGCCUGUGUUCCCAGCUACUCAGGAGGCUGAGGUGAGAGGAUUGCUUGGGCCUGGAAGUUGGAGGCUGCAGUGAGCUGUGUUCAAACCACUGCACUCUUGCCUGGGUGACAGAGUGAGAUCCUGUUUCAAAAAAAAAACAAAGAAAGAAAGAAGGUGAGAGACAGAGAGAGGGAGAGAAAGAAAGGAAGGAAGGAAGGAAGGAAAAGAAAGAAAGAGGAAGAAAGGAAGGAAGAAAGAAAGAAAAAAAGGAAGGAAGGA